rnacentral:rRNA from 1 species
AGCCUACGGGGGGCAGCAGUGAGGAAUAUUGGUCAAUGGGCGGGAGACUGAACCAGCCAAGCCGCGUGAGGGAUGAAGGUACAGAGUAUCGUAAACCUCUUUUGUCAGGGAACAAAGGCGGGGACGCGUCCCCGGAUGAGAGUACCCGAAGAAAAAGCAUCGGCUAACUCCGUGCCAGCAGCCGCGGUAAUACGGAGGAUGCGAGCGUUAUCCGGAUUUAUUGGGUUUAAAGGGUGCGCAGGCGGGCUGUUAAGUCAGCGGUCAAA